rnacentral:lncRNA from 1 species
AAUAAUUGCAGUCUAUCUCUAAGAAACAAACAAACCAAAAAAAAAAAAACAAAAAAAAAAAAACCUGUUUUCAGGAAAUGCAUUGGUAUUACCAGUAACAAAUUUUAUAAAUCCUAUGUAUGGGUUAUGAUGCUUGAGGCCACAAGAAACUAUCCAACUAAAAAUAAAUUCUUACAAACAAGAAGUCUAGAGAAGAGCACUCCAGAAUUCAGCGGUACCAUGAUUUAAGCAUAUGGGCUGACUUUGACUCUCGUAACUUUCUCCUUUAACUUUAUCCAGAUUUCAAUUAUGUGAAUUUUGGGGGAAGAAACAUAAGCAUAUUUUUCUGUCUUUCACCCCCCUCCCCAAUUCAUGUGGCAAAAUAGCUACCAUUGCUCUGAGCAUGUCAUUCUUACAUGCUAACAUCCAAAAUUAGGAAAGAAAGAUGUAUUUCCUCCCAUGUACAUCUUUUUAUUUAGAACAAAAACUUUUCCCAGGGCUGGGGUUAUGGUAGAGCAUUUGUCCAGCUUGUGUAAGGCACUGUGUUCAAUUCUCAGCACCUCAUAUAAAUAAAAUAAAGGUCCAUUGACAAUUAAAAAAAUUUAAAAAAAAACAACAAACAACCCUUUCCCAGAAGCACCCAGCAAUGUUCCCUAAUGUCUCAUGGGCUUAGAUUGGUCACAUGACUGUGUCUUUGUCCAUUUUAUCUGCUUUAACAAAAUACCUUAGACUGGGCAACAGAAACUUAUUGUCCAUAGUUCUGGAGGCCGGAGAGUCCAAGAUCAGGCACCAAUAGAUUUGGUGUCUAGUUAGGACUGGUUCUCAUCUUCAAAGAUGGUGCCAUCUUGCUGUAUCCCACAUUGUAGAAGAGACAGAUCGCUUUCUGGGUUCUCUUUUAUAGGGGCAUUAAUCCCAUUCACAAGGACUCUGCCUUCACCAUCUAAUCACCUUCUAAAGACCCUACCUCUUAAU